GACCGGAGAUAUUAUGGGCGGAUCUGAAGGCGGGAUAACUGUAAAUACAAGUGGAUAGUAUUGGCUAAUUCAGAAUUUCAACGAAUGAGAUUAUCGUUACUCUAUGACAAUCAAAAACUCACCUGUCCAAUUAUCAACGUUUGAAGUUGUCUAUCAAGUGUAACUUUAACCAAACGUUUCACAGUUCGUGAUCCCUACCGCUUUGAGGUUCCGCCUUAUAGAGUUAUCUCUUAAAUAAUCUGCCGUUUUACCAAGUGAUGAAACUCCAUUAAACGAAAGGAGACAAAAAAAGAAGCUGCGGUGAUGAAACUCCAUUAGACAAAAGAAGAAGAAGCGACGAAACUAAUUGCUCGUAUUUUUGACAAUGGAACCAGCUUGCUACAAGAAUAUCUUCUGGAAAUUGGAUGCUGAUGAAAAAUAAAGACAUCCCUGCUGGUUCAGUAGACUGUGGAGUAGACAUGUUGAUGGUAUGUGAAUAUUAACUG